rnacentral:rRNA from 1 species
AGGACGAACGCUGGCGGCGUGCUUAACACAUGCAAGUCGAACGGUGACCCAGGGCUUGCCCUGGUGAUCAGUGGCGAACGGGUGAGUAACACGUGGGCAACCUGCCCCAGACUCUGGGAUAACUCCGGGAAACCGGGCUAAUACCGGAUACGACUUGAGUAGGCAUCUACUUGAGUGGAAAGUUUUUCGGUCUGGGAUGGGCCCGCGGCCUAUCAGCUUGUUGGUGGGGUAAUGGCCUACCAAGGCGACGACGGGUA